rnacentral:tRNA from 1 species
GCGGCGCUAAUUCAGUGGCAGAAUGUCAGCUUCCCAAGCUGAAUAUGCGGGUUCGAUUCCCGUGCGCCGCU